rnacentral:rRNA from 1 species
UACAGAGGUCCCAAGCGUUGUUCGGAUUCACUGGGCGUAAAGCGUGCGCAGGCGGCUUUGCAAGACAGAUGUGAAAUCCCCGGGCUCAACCUGGGAACUGCAUUUGUGACUGCAAGGCUGGAGUACGGCAGAGGGGGAUGGAAUUCCGCGUGUAGCAGUGAAAUGCGUAGAUAUGCGGAGGAACACCGAUGGCGAAGGCAAUCCCCUGGGCCUGUACUGACGCUCAUGCACGAAAGCGUGGGGAGCAAACAGG